rnacentral:lncRNA from 1 species
CCCGGCCCACGCGACCAUCCUCAAUUUCUGCCGCAGCCAGGCUGUACUUGCCAUCGUCCACCUUCUUGCCUUAAAAGGGUCUUCUUGUUUUGAUCUGCCAUCUUUUUGGGGGGAGAGAGAGCUGGAGACCUUCUCUUUUUUUCCGUGUUUCGGGAAGAGCCGAGCGGUCGUGAAUUUGAGGCGGAACUGUUGAGAGGAAAAGCCUGAAUUUUUGUCCGUUUAAAAUCUUUUUUUUUUGGGGAGGCGAAAAGAGGUUUUAAUAAGGCAGCGUAUUCGGCG